rnacentral:lncRNA from 1 species
AUCUCUCCAAUAAGAGCUAUAAGGUGCAAAACCCAAAUCUAAACCAUUGUAAGACAAUUUUCUUAGUCCAAGAAAAGAUGGUCUACUUGCAAAUUUAAGGUCGUGAGUUUUCAACACUUGUUCUGCCAUUUUUGCUGAGGAAACAACUAAGGUUGGUAUGUAUCCAAGUUUCAAAGACAUGAUAGGUCCAUAGUGUUUGGAGAGUUGCCAUAAGGAGUGAUGUGGGGAUGAAGGGUCAAGCUGGUGUAAAUUUCCAAUUAGAGGAAGUGGUUUUGGACCUGGUGGAGUUGAUGAUGCUCUUCUAGUAUUCUUUAUUUUGUGGAUGUGUAUAAUGAAUAGAAUUAAGAUUGGCAAGAGAGAAAGAAGCACAAGAUCAAUCUCCAUGACUCUCAAAAUGAUUCUACAAAGACUCUCAAAAAUAUAAAGAAAACAAGUGUAGGCAUGGGGGCCCAUUGUGAGCAUAAUGAGAAUGAAAGAUUCCAUUGUCAUAAAUUUUUACACGUAACGUAACACACACCUUUAAUAGAAAAAUAGACACCUCAAUUUCGCUCGUGUUCGGGUCGUACUCUCGAUCGCUUGUUUUACCGAGUAACAUCUGAUUGAGACGUAAUUUCGGAUCAACUUUUUUCAGUCAAGUGAACAAUUUUAAGAUGUCUAUUGAACAACCAUCACUUAACGAUCGAUUGUCUCUUACGUUUCAUUCACCCAUCUUUAUUAUUUCUCUUCUCUUUCUAGCAAACAUCAAUGAAUCAAUGAUAUAUCUUACCUUCAGUGUUGUUCAAAUUUCACCAUGCAAUAAUGCUGCUAUUUGACAACAUUGUUUACGUAUAAAUCUCUGUGGUUUGACCAUCUUUCGGUUUGUCAAUCUCCCUUAAUGUUCUUACGACAAUUUUUUGUUGCCUCCUAGCCUUUAUCACCAGUUUUCAUCACUAGGUUUGGUCAUAUUAUCAUUGAUAUUUUAAACUUGUUUUUAAUGUAUGGUCCACGGUGGACCAUUUAUGAACACAUUGUCAUAUUAGAAUUUGCCAUCCCCCCAUACUGUGGCUUAAACAACAAACACGUUUUUAUCACCCAUGCUUCUCAAAUCCUACUGGAAACUUCCGGUAGCGCUUUUUACAUGUUUUGAGUGAUGCAGGGGGGACAUGAUUUCCAUGUUUAUAUUUAGUUUGCCUAAAAUAGUUUAAAUAUACCCGAGAGCGUUUAAAUGAGAUGGAACAAGUCUUUCUAGCUUAACCAAGAUUAUGGGUUCAAAUCCAGCCUUGGACAUGCAACAGUCUGAAAACUCGUAGGAGAGCUUGCCACCUAUUUACCCGAUUUAAAAAAAAAAAAAGGUUUAAAUAUCUAUUUGCCCCCUUACCCUUACUUUAUUUUAAAAGUUUAAUUUGGUUUUCAACUUUAAAACGGGUAAAUCGGUCUCUUAAUUUAUUUUAAAAAGUUAAGUUUUCUUUAACUUAAAAUUGAUCAAUUUGAUAAUUUCAAAACGAGUCAAUUCAGUUUCGGGUAAACAACCAUUUUGGUCUUUCACCUUGCACCUCACUGUUAAUAGUCGACUCAGAUACAAUGUAAAAUAGUCCCUCAAUGUUUAUAUCCAUUAGCCAGUUUAAUCAUUGACGUUAAAAUUGGCCGUUAAAUGCUGACAAGGAUGUGUAACAUGGAUCUGGAGACCAAAAUGAAAAUAAACUGUUUGAAAUUAACACAAAUAAAUCUCUAAAUUCUGAAUUCCCACCAUCUUUUGUUACUUAAUGUUGUCCAUUAUUUUUACUCAAACUUGGAGCUAAUUAAGAGACAUGGUCUGGUCAUGAUUUUGAUUUUCUGAGAUUUUGAAAUUGUGCAGAGAAUGAGAAAUGAAACAGAACAGACUCAAAGUGUGGAAAUGUGUUUUUUUUAGGUAGUAGAGUUGUAGUUGGUUAUGUUCUAUGUCGUGUUUUCUUUGAUCUUGUUGUUUCAGAUUUUUUUCUAAGAAAAACUAUUUUAAAAAAAAUAUCAUUUUUGUCAUUUUUAAGUGUUUGUUUAAGAUUUUUGAAAAAAUUAUUUUAGCUCUAAAUUGAAAAGUUAUUAGGAUUAACUUUUCUCAAAAUCUAUUUUUUUCCAAAAACAAGAAGGCAGGACAUUUACAAGUUAAAACUCAUUUUUUUUAAAGUGAUUUUUUUUUUGGCAAGUUUUAAAAGUGAUUUUUAUGGAUAGUAAACAAACAAAAAUAUCUUCAGAUUUUUAUAAAACCUAUAAAAAAAUCUCUAAAUCCUUUUAAUAUAAAAUGUAUUUUUUUUAAGCCGAAACAAACCUUUUUUUUUUAUAUAUAUACAUAUACAGUGAGUUCUAGUCAAUAAACUACUUGACAAAAAAUAAAGAUGGGAACCGUGAAAUAUUCUUUUGCUUUCUUCCUUUUCUGUAAUUGGAUCUCUUUGCUUUGUUAUUCUCUUUGGGUUUCACAUGCUCCUUUUGUAACCUAUCUUUCCAUUCUGCUUCUUCAUUUAGGGAUUAUGUGUGUUAAUUUGGUAUUGGUUUGGAAUUUGGGAGUAUGCUCCUCCUUCGAUGAUCUCUGGUGUCAAUUUACGUGGACUAAUUUAUCUUUUUCAAAAAAAAUAAAAAAUAGUUCACUUUUAUUUUGGUCCUUAGAUCCAUGUCACAUAUCCUUGACUGUCAAAUUUAAACGUCAAGGAUUAAAUUGGUUAACAGAAGUAUACAUCCAAAAACUAUUUUACAUUUUAUCCUGAGUCAAUGACCAUAAUGACAAUGAGAUAUUAAAUCAGAGAUCAAAAUGGUUGUUUCCUCCAUUUAUUUUCUUAACUCAACUUGGUUUCUUAAUAAAUGGAUAUCAUAAUAUAUUUUCGAGUAAACCAUCAAACUAUUCAUUGGCUUAAUAGAAAACUAUCGAACAUAUCCAUGAAAUUAUGAAUAUCUUAAAAACGUCCCCAACUCUAUUAAAUAGUCAAAUUGAUUUCUAUAUAUUAUAAAUUAUCAAUUAGGUCCUUAUAUUUUAAACCCUUAUUAUCAAUUUGGUCCAAGUAUUUAACCACUUGCUCUUAAUUUAGUUCCCUCUAACUCAAAAAUGAGUAAAAUUUAAUAGAGUCAAAUACUUUUAAAUUAUUUACAAUUUUAAGGACCUAUUUGAUAGCAUCCUAUAUUGGGUCAAAGUUUGACCCAAUUUGAUCAUAAUGUACAAAGUGGAUUUUGGUUGUGCAUAAUAGAGAUGAAAAAGAUUUCAAUGACACAAAUUUCUCCACUUAAAGCAAAUCUUUAUUUCAUAACAGAAAUAAUUGUCAAUACUCAAUACUAGUACAAUAAACUAUGGUUUUCUUUUCUUAGGAACAAGGUAAAGAUCAAUUUUCUUAUGCAUAGUUAUUCCUGGUUUAACUUGUGUAUCCAACACUUGUUCCUUGUCAAAACCAUGAGGCAGCUUCCAGUCAAAAGAGUGAAGAAGAUUAGCAAGUGUAAGCUCAACAGUGACCACUCCCAUGUUCAUUGCAGGACACAUUCUUCUUCCACUUCCAAAUGGAAUCAACUCAAAAUUCUUCCCUUUAAAAUCCACUGAACUUAUAAUGAACCUUUCAGGAUAAAACUCUUCAGGGUCAUUCCAAUUCUCAGGAUCCCUUGCUAUGGCCCAUGCAUUAACAUAGACUAGAGUUUUUGGUUUAAUCUCAUAACCAUCUAUGUUACAACUUUCUAUUGUUUCUCUUGGCAAUAGUAAUGGUGAUGGAGGGAAUAAUCUUAAUGUCUCUUUCACUACUGAUUUAAGAUAAGGAAGCUUUUCAAUAUCAUCUUCAUUUAUAAAAUCUUUGUCUUCAUAUAAGUUUCUGAUUUCCAUUUGAACCUUGUUCAUCACUCUUGGAUUGUUCAUCAAUGCUGUCAUAGCCCAAACCACUGCUGCUGAACUUGUGUCUGUUCCUGCAAUAAAGAUGUUCUGCAUACAUAAUAUGCAUGUGUUUAAUUAAAUGCAUAAACUUUUAUUUAUGUCAUCUUGUUUUUUGGUACGUUAUGCAUUAUAUCAUCUCAUUUAACAAAAUAAAAGAUGAAUUGAAAUUGAGUAUAUGUGAUUCAUUAUAUCAUCAUCUUUCCUACCCAUUUUUUCCACAUACAAAACAAUAGAAACUCACACACAUACAAAUGCGAGGUCCUAAAUUUCAAUAAGAGUGAAAGUGUCCAUACUUACUACAUCGACAUUGUCAACUGAACCAACGGUCACAAUGACAUGACUUAUCUCUUCUAAGAACUCAAAUUAUUAUUUCUCAAAUCUCUUAAAUUAAUGGCCCUACAUAGGGGUUUAUGAAUAGACUAGACCGAGUUAGAAUUUACUAUGUCUAAACUUGACUUAGUCAAAAAGGUUCAAGAUUUAGACCUAACCUACAACGUGCAAUAGGCUUAAUUAGUAUAUGAUCUUUUUAAAAGCUUGAUAUGAUAUCAUAGCCUACUUAAAAACUAUUUAAUAUGAAUGUAUUUAAGUAAGUAAUAUGAUCUAUUUUUAUAUAGACUAAGAAGCUAAUAUAACACCCCCUCUUUUAAAAAAAAAAAAAAAAACUAAUAUACCACGUCUCUAAGAAAAAAGAGAACAAACUAAUAUACCACUAAUAUUGAGCUCCAUUGUGAUAUUUAGCAUGGCAUUUGAGGGAUUUAACUAUAUAUGAUAUCAUAUUUCAAUUCUACUUUACAAUAAUAUAAUUUCCUUUUUAAAAACUAAUGUAGACUUUUUUGUAGACUUAUAAGCUCAUAUUAUUGAAAAUAUUAACAAAUUAAAAUUUAAACCAAAUUACAUAAUCUAUCAUAAUAUUAGUAUUUCAUUCAUUUUUUUUAACUAGAUUAGUCUAAUACGCCUAAAAUGUCUUUUUAUGAUCCAAUAGACUAGAUCAAGUUAGAAUUUACGAUGUUUAAACUUGACUUAGUCAAAAAGGUUCAAGAUUUAGACCUAGCCUACAACGUGCAAUAGACUUAAUUAAUAUACGAUCUUUUAAAAUGUUUGAUAUGAUAUGAUAGUCUACUUAAAAGCUAUUUAAUAAGAACGUAUUUAAAUAAGUAAUAUGAUAUAUUUUUAUAUAGACUAAGAAGCUAAUAUAACACUCCUUCUUUAAAAAAAAAAAAACCAAUAUACCAUUUCUCUAAAAAAAAAUAGAAAAAGAAGAAGCUAAUAUACCACUAAUAUUAAGCUUCAUUUUGAUAUUUAGCAUGACAUUUUAGAGAUCUGACUAUAUAUGAUAUGAUAUCAUAUUUCAAUUCUACUUUACAAUAAUACAAUUAAAUAUGUGAAAAACUAAUGUAGACUUAUAAGCUCAUAUUAGUGAAAAUGUUAACAAAAUUAAAAUUUAAACCAAAUUACAUAAUCUAUUAUAAUAUUAGUAAUAAAGAAUAUCAUUCAUUUUCUUAACUAGGUUAGUAUGGAGUUCAUGUAUGCUCAAACAUACAUGAUCUCGUUAGUUUGAUAUGCCUAAAAUGUUUUUUUUUUAUGAUCCUUAGUCUACCUUUUUAGCUAAUCAAAUUUCUAGAAAAUCUUAGUCUUCUCUAAUUUUUUCUUUUGCCUAAUGCAAGAUAGACCCUAGACUUCUGUCGGCCGAUCUAACUUAUUCUCAUCUUUAACUUUACAAGAGCGCAAAAUGAUAUCAAUCGGACUUAGGUCUAAUGGUUAUGGCAAACUAAAGUUCGAAUUUUAGAACGAUGUCCAUAUUUAAUGCUAACGAACAAGAUUAACUUGGGUGGAGCAAACUUGUGGGAAACAAAAAUAAACACAGAAUCAAAGGUGAAGAUUUCAAUAAAAUAAGGACGAGUCCAUACCAUAAGCACAGCUUUGAUGUGGUCGAGAGUGAGAUCAAAAGAGAGUGAAUGAUCAUUCAUCAUUUGUAAUAAGAUAUCAAUAAUAUCAUCUACUUCUUGUUCCUUAGUUUUAGGCCUUGCUGAAUAAUCCAUGUGGUCAUCAAUAACUCUUUGGUAUAUCAAAUCCAACUCCUUGAACGUUUUAUCAAGCCUCCCAAGUGUUCCUUUGACUCUAUCAAUCCAACCAAACAAUGGAAAAUUAUCUGAAAAGUAAAAUUCAGCCAACAAAGCUUGAGCUUCAUUAAGCAAAACUUGCAAUCUACUUCUCCUUUGUCCACUUCCCAAUUCAACUCCUUCUUCAUAAUCACAAACAUAUGUUUUCCCAAAAGCUAUCUUACAUAUAAUUGUAUUUGUGAGAGACAUCAAUAUUUCACUCAAGUUCGCACCUUUUUCAUCACCACCAUAUUGCGACAACUUUUGAAUCAAUUGGGCCACUUCAUUUUCUCUAACGGGCCUAAAAGAAUGGGCACGUUGAGAGCUAAAGAGGUGAUGAACACAAAGUUUUCUCAUCUCUCUCCAAUAAGGACUAUAAGGUGCACAAGCCAGAUCUAAACCAUUGUAAGACAAUUUUCUAAAUCCAAGAAAAGAUGGUCUACUUGCAAAUUUAAGGUCGUGAGUUUUCAACACUUGUUCUGCCAUUUUUGCUGAGGAAACAACUAAGGUUGGUAUGUAACCAAGUUUCAAAGACAUGAUAGGUCCAUAGUGUUUGGAAAGUUGCCAUAGGGAGUGAUGUGGGGAUGAAGGGUCAAGUUGGUGUAGAUUUCCAAUUAGAGGAAAUGGUUUUGGACCUGGUGGAGUUGAUGAUGCUCUUCUAGUACUCUUUGUUUUGUGUAUGUGGAUAAU